rnacentral:rRNA from 1 species
AUUGAACGCUGGCGGCAGGCCUAACACAUGCAAGUCGAACGGUAACAGGAAACAGCUUGCUGUUUCGCUGACGAGUGGCGGACGGGUGAGUAAUGUCUGGGAAACUGCCUGAUGGAGGGGGAUAACUACUGGAAACGGUAGCCAAUACCGCAUAACGUCGCAAGACCAAAGAGGGGGACCCUCGGGCCUCUUGCCAUCGGAUGUGCCCAGAUGGGAUUAGCUUGUUGGUGGGGUAACGGCUCACCAAGGCGACGAUCCCUAGCUGGUCUGAGAGGAUGACCAGCCACACUGGAACUGAGACACGGUCCAGACUCCUACGGGAGGCAGCAGUGGGGAAUAUUGCACAAUGGGCGCAAGCCUGAUGCAGCCAUGCCGCGUGUAUGAAGAAGGCCUUCGGGUUGUAAAGUACUUUCAGCGGGGAGGAAGGGAGUAAAGUUAAUACCUUUGCUCAUUGACGUUACCCGCAGAAGAAGCACCGGCUAACUCCGUG